ACGACCUAUUUAAAGAAGAAGCUCGCGGAUCCUUGGUCUCUUUACUUCAGCGGACACGUGUGAGUGGAGGGAGUCGAACACGUCCCCGCUUCGUAAAGCUAAACAUCAUCAUGGGCUCCAGCAUGUUUCCCGACCGGUUUUAUCUGGAUCAAAUGCCGUUGGUUGGACACCUGUAUGAUCCUGAUGGAGGAUGAUGACGGUGGUGUCUGAUCUUCUGAAGAAUGUCCUGCUACUAACAUCACAGUCAGCAGUUACAGCACUGUGACUACUACAGGAAAUGGGUCAGAGAGGACUUCCUGUCUGCAUCAGCGCUGUUUGAAAAGACUCAGGGUUUAAGUUUGGGACGAUUAAACCACAUGAGCUGUUGCAGCAGCUGUGAAAGACCCAGUCAUAGGAAGUGCUCGUGCUUUACAGGUGAGACAUUGGGCUCCUGAAGGAAAGUGGACCAGAGGAACAUCGUCCUCCUGAGACUUAUUUCUAAAUGUGAUUCUAUUUGUAAUGGCUUACAAAUAAUGCAUUAUGAAUCUACCUUGUACUCUAAUUUAAGAAAUAAAAACAUCUUUCAACUCA